rnacentral:rRNA from 1 species
UGGGGAAUUUUGGACAAUGGGGGAAACCCUGAUCCAGCCAUCCCGCGUGUGCGAUGAAGGCCUUCGGGUUGUAAAGCACUUUUGGCAGGAAAGAAACGUCGCGGGUUAAUACCCCGCGAAACUGACGGUACCUGCAGAAUAAGCACCGGCUAACUACGUGCCAGCAGCCGCGGUAAUACGUAGGGUGCAAGCGUUAAUCGGAAUUACUGGGCGUAAAGCGUGCGCAGGCGGUUCGGAAAGAAAGAUGUGAAAUCCCAGAGCUUAACUUUGGAACUGCAUUUUUAACUACCGGGCUAGAGUGUGUCAGAGGGAGGUGGAAUUCCGCGUGUAGCAGUGAAAUGCGUAGAUAUGCGGAGGAACACCGAUGGCGAAGGCAGCCUCCUGGGAUAACACUGACGCUCAUGCACGAAAAGCGUGGGGAGCAAACAGGAUUAGAUACCCUGGUAGUCCACGCCCUAAACGAUGUCAACUAGCUGUUGGGGCCUUCGGGCCUUGGUAGCGCAGCUAACGCGUGAAGUUGACCGCCUGGGGAGUACGGUCGCAAGAUUAAAAACUU